GGACAUCCGGGGACUGUAAGGAAUAGCAAUCGAUCAUCAUUUUAACAUGCUGUAGUCAUGCUACAUUCAAUGGACUCCGGAAAGUCGACUCAGCUACAGUGCUGGGAGGACACCCAUCUGGCGGGUCUUCAAGGUGCCGAGGAUGGCUCACUCAUUAGCUGUAUGUGAUAAGUUAACUGCGUGUCACUCUGAACGUCAGUUGCAUCCCGACUUGACUCUUGGAGAGAGAAGACUCAGGCUUCAUCCAUCCGUCCAUUUUCUAGACCGGUUAUUAGGGUCGCAGCAUUUCCUGCCAACACGCAGCUUACACAGAGGAAAAGCGGACGUGGCUGAGGACAGGGGAAGGGUGCAUGAAGUAGGACGCUAAAGCCACGCCCCCAGUAGGUAAAUAGCGCCAGAGUGUUUUUUUUUUUUUUUUUUUUUUUACCGCUUGACUGACUGGGAGCAUUUCCGGGGUGUGCAUUGUGCAAAACAACAUCGGUUUGGCUAAGGACUCCCGAAAAUGUCACCUACGAAGAGACACGCUUACGAAGUGGUAUUAAUUUAAAUGGUAAAUGGAGUGCACUUAUAUAGCGCUUUAUCUACACAUCACAGUUCCCAAAUCACUUUACAUUCACACACACAUUAAUACAACAAUGGGCCGCUGCCGCCAUGCAAGGCACUGCCAGGCCCACUGGGAGCAAUUUAGGGUUCAGUGUCUUGCCCUAGGACACUUUGACAGCAGACAGUAUUCGAACCGGAGACCCUUAAGUCACUUGAUGAUCUGCUCUACUGAGCCACAACCGCACAACGGCAGACUAUGUUUGUUUAUUCUUGUGAUUUAGAUGAAGAUCAGACCACAUUAUGUGACCAAUUUAUGCAAAAAUUUAAGACAUUCUAAAGGAUUCACUUACUUUUUCCUCCAUUGUACAUGGAACUUGAAUUGGAUCAAGGAUAGUGAAUAAAUGCUCAAAUGGCUUUCCAUAAAUUUACAUGGCAUUAGUGUGGUAAAUACAGUAUGUAUUUACCACUUACCACACACAGUAUGUAUUUACCACACAUUAUGUACAGCCAUAUUUGUGGAAUGCAUGUUUUCUCAAUUGCU